rnacentral:rRNA from 1 species
AUUGAACGCUGGCGGCAUGCCUUACACAUGCAAGUCGAACGGUAACAGGUCUUCGGAUGCUGACGAGUGGCGAACGGGUGAGUAAUACAUCGGAACGUGCCUAGUAGUGGGGGAUAACUACUCGAAAGAGUGGCUAAUACCGCAUGAGAUCUACGGAUGAAAGCAAGGGAUCGCAAGACCUUGUGCUACUAGAGCGGUCGAUGGCAGAUUAGGUAGUUGGUGGGAUAAAAGCUUACCAAGCCGAAGAUCUGUAGCUGGUCUGAGAGGACGAUCAGCCACACUGGGACUGAGACACGGCCCAGACUCCUACGGGAGGCAGCAGUGGGGAAUUUUGGACAAUGGGCGCAAGCCUGAUCCAGCAAUGCCGCGUGCAGGAUGAAGGCCUUCGGGUUGUAAACUGCUUUUGUACGGAACGAAAAGCCCUGGGUUAAUACCCUGGGGUCAUGACGGUACCGUAAGAAUAAGCACCGGCUAACUACGUGCCAGCAGCCGCAGUAAAAC